rnacentral:rRNA from 1 species
AACGAACGCUGGCGGCAGGCCUAACACAUGCAAGUCGAGCGAGGACUUCGGUUCUAGCGGCGGACGGGUGAGUAACGCGUGGGAAUGUGCCCUUCUCUACGGAAUAGCCCUGGGAAACUGGGAGUAAUACCGUAUACGCCCUUUUGGGUAAAGAUUUAUCGGAGAAGGAUCAGCCCGCGUUGGAUUAGGUAGUUGGUGGGGUAAUGGCCUACCAAGCCGACGAUCCAUAGCUGGUUUGAGAGGAUGAUCAGCCACACUGGGACUGAGACACGGCCCAGACUCCUACGGGAGGCAGCAGUGGGGAAUCUUAGACAAUGGGGGCAACCCUGAUCUAGCCAUGCCGCGUGAGUGAUGAAGGCCUUAGGGUUGUAAAGCUCUUUCAGCUGGGAAGAUAAUGACGGUACCAGCAGAAGAAGCCCCGGCUAACUCCGUG